UAUAGCGUUCUCGCGCGCCUAACCACCACACGUCACACAGACGCACAGUAAUUUAACUAGUCGUCGCUAGGACCGGACACCCUUUUUUCAAUAUUCGUUUCAUUGUUAUGCGUGUGCGUGAGUGUGUUUUUCAUUGAUAUUAAUACGAUGCGUAAACCUAACACAACUCGCAGUGACCAGCGGGCGGAAUAACGGUCCCGCGCGGUAAUAAUAUCAUAUGUAUAAUAGUAUAAUAUAUAUAAAUAUACAUAUCCGCAGAGCAUAACCGACGGCGAUUGCGCGAGGUGACGUACUUUAUAAUAUUACCGGAGAUUUCGUACCAGACUUUCCGCGGUAACACGUAAUCCGUCGUCAUGGGUUGCAAACGUCAAAUGCUGCUGUGGUCCGCCACAUCGCAAUUCAUCGUCCCGGCCGUCGCGUUGUUCCUCGCCUUACGCUGUUGUGGCUGUUCGACGCCGAUCUGCGACGUACACGAAGACCACCACGAUGACGGACCACUGUACUUAUCGCCCAUGAUACGCGACGGCCGAAUCGACGAGGCGCGGGCCGCGUGCAAAGUGCGCCUGAACGACAGCGCGGCCGCGGGGGUGGACAGUUGCGCCGGUUACCUGACCGUGGACGAGGCGCACGAUUCCAACUUGUUCUUUUGGUUCUUCCCGGCCGCGAGCGGCGACGGUAAGGCACCAGUCGUGCUGUGGCUGCAGGGAGGACCGGGCGCGCCCAGCCUGUACUCGGUGUUCAACGAAAAUGGUCCGUUUUUGGUGGACGAGGUCGGCGGUCUGCUGCGGCGGAACCUCACGUGGACGUCCACGCACUCGAUGCUUUACGUGGACAGUCCGGUGGGCGUGGGGUACAGCUUCACCGGCGACGAAGCUGGUUACACCACCAACCAGACGGCCAUCGCCAAGAAUCUGUACGCCGCGCUGGUGCAGUUCUUCGAGCUGUACCCCGAGUACCGGGACAACGAUUUCUACGCGGCCGGCGAGUCGUACGCGGGCAAGUACGUGCCGGCCGUGUCGUACGCCAUCCACCGGAACAAUGACGGGGCCCGAGUCAAGAUAAACCUCAAGGGACUAGCCAUCGGCAACGGAUUUAUCGACCCCGUGAACCAGAUGGUAUACAGCGAUGUCUUGUUCCAGUACGGGCUUAUCGACGAAGACGGCAAACGAUUGUUCAAGGAACAGGAGGACUUGGCCCGAGAUCGAAUCGCUUCGGGCGAUUACAAGGCCGCGUACGAUGCGAUGACCAGGAUGAUGAUCACCACUCCGUCGCUGUACGGAGAGCUGACUGGCAUGCGGAACAUCUACAACAUGAUGUGGCACAAGAACCCGAUACCGUACGAAGGCGGCCACUGGGACCGGUACGUGCAAUGCCAAGGGCGGGCUGCGUUGCACGUGGGCCGGCGCCCGUGGUCGUCGGUGGACGUGGUUUAUGAGCGGAUGAAGUACGACAUACCACUGUCCGUGGCCCCGUGGCUCGCCGAGCUUCUGGACACCGGUCGGUACCGCGUUCUGCUCUAUUCCGGGCAGUUGGACGUGAUAGUGCCGUACCGUGGCACGGUUAAUGUGGCCAGGGCGCUCCGGUGGGCGGGAGCGGAGCGGUUCAGGAACGCGACGCGUUCCAUCUGGAUGCCCAACUGUUCUUCUAGGUGCCGAACCACCAAGGUGGCCGGUUACGCGACCACGCACGGCCCGCUCACCGUGCUGCUGGUCAGGAACGCCGGUCACAUGGUACCGUACGACCAACCGGCUUGGGCACACAACAUGAUCGAACUAUUCACAUCCGGCGAAUCGUUUCACUGAAACUCUGCUUGGCCGUGACUAACAAUAAAUAAGUUACAAUAUAUAGCUGUGUAGUAUUGAAAGUACUUCCAAACCGCCAUUAAUUGUAACUUUUUCUAUAAAUUUAUUUAUAAAUAGAUUUGAGAUAGUGACCGCAAAAUGAUACGCUGAGGUCAGACUGACGCUUGCAAAAGUUCGUGGUCAUAAUAUAGUUAUAAAUUAUUCAAAGGCAUUGUCGUCGAAGAUUUGGGCGGUCAUCGAACAAUAUUACAGGACUUGUGGGCGCGUGGGUAACUUCUUCGCUGUUUCCAGAAUAUAAUAUAACAAAAUAUAAAUCUUAGUAUGUAUAAUAAAUAAUAUUUAUAAAUGUGGUCAUAUGGAUAGAUCUUAUCACAUUUUCAAAAAUAUGAAAUAACAACAUAAUGUUAAAGCUUAAUUAUAUAUUUAUA
rnacentral:misc_RNA from 1 species